UUAGAGUUUGAUCCCUGGCUCAGGAUGAACGCUGGCGGCGUGCUUAACACAUGCAAGUCGAACGAUGAAGACCGUGCUUGCACGGUUGGAUUAGUGGCGAACGGGUGAGUAUCACGUGAGUAACCUUCCCUUAACUCUGGGAUAAGCCCGGGAAACUGGGUCUAAUACCGGAUACGACCAGUCCUCGCAUGGGGUGCUGGUGGAAAGAUUUAUCGGUUUUGGAUGGACUCGCGGCCUAUCAGCUUGUUGGUGAGGUAAAGGCUCACCAAGGCGAUGACGGGUAGCCGGCCUGAGAGGGUGACCGGCCACACUGGGACUGAGACACGGCCCAGACUCCUACGGGAGGCAGCAGUGGGGAAUAUUGCACAAUGGGCGAAAGCCUGAUGCAGCGACGCCGCGUGCGGGAUGACGGCCUUCGGGUUGUAAACCGCUUUCAGCAGGGAAGAAGCGAAAGUGACGGUACCUGCAGAAGAGCGCCG
rnacentral:rRNA from 1 species